GAUGAACGCUGGCGGCGUGCCUAAUACAUGCGAGUCGAGCGAACGGACGAGAAGCUUGCUUCUCUGAUGUUAGCGGCGGACGGGUGAGUAACACGUGGAUAACCUACCUAUAAGACUGGGAUAACUUCGGGAAACCGGAGCUAAUACCGGAUAAUAUUUUGAACCGCAUGGUUCAAAAGUGAAAGACGGUCUUGCUGUCACUUAUAGAUGGAUCCGCGCUGCAUUAGCUAGUUGGUAAGGUAACGGCUUACCAAGGCAACGAUGCAUAGCCGACCUAAGAGGGUGAUCGGCCACACUGGAACUGAGACACGGUCAAGACUCCUACGGGAGGCAGCAGUAGGGAAUCUUCCGCAAUGGGAGAAAGCCUGACGGAGCAACGCCGCGUGAGUGAUGAAGGUUUUCGGAUCGUAAAACUCUGUUAUGAGGGAAAAACAUAUGUGUAAGUAACUGUGCACAUCUUGACGGUAACUAAUCAGAAAGCCACGGCUAACUACGUG
rnacentral:rRNA from 1 species